UAAUUCUAUAAGAAUAAACCUUUUUAUAAAUUUGC
rnacentral:rRNA from 1 species